AAGGACAUGUGAUGAAAAUGUGGAAUAUACCUCUUGCCUGGGGUGAACUGAAACUACUCUGUGGAUCCAUUCCAUGUUGCCUUCCUUCUGAUGUCCUC